rnacentral:rRNA from 1 species
UAAGGGAGAGUUAGGUAACUGUACCACAACGGACACACGUGGACGAGAUGAGUAUUCUCAGGCGCUCGGGUGAUGAGUUGUUCAGGAACUAGGCAAAUUAACCCCGGUAACUUCGGGGAGAAGGGGUGCCACGCAAGUGGGCCGCAGUGAAUAGCGUCAGGCGACUGUUUAACAAAACACAGGUCUCUGCUAAGUCGAAAACGACGUAUAGGGGCUGACGCCUGCCCGGUGCCGGAAGGUUAAAGGGAGCGGUUAGCGCAAGCGAAGCUGUAAAACUGAAGCCCCGGUGAACGGCGGCCGUAACAAUAACGGUCCUAAGGUAGCGAAAUUCCUUGUCGGGUAAGUUCCGACCUGCACGAAUGGCGUAACGAUCUGACGACUGUCUUAACAACUCGCCCGGCGAAUUUGUGGUUCCGGUGAAGACGCCGGAUGCCCGCCACAAGACGGAAAGACCCCAU